CCCAUAUGUGCCAUGUGUGACUCGACUGGACAAAAACAGCAAAUUCGAGCAGUUGAAUGAAAGAGCUAGUGUUUUGGCAGAUAAGCUGAGUCAAGCAUCAAGAAAUCAACUUGUUUUGGUGCCACAUAAUGUUGGUUAUCAUUGGAUUCUCACUGUCAUUGAUCCAUAUAAGGAGACAGUUUAUUUGUUGGAUUCGCUUAGUCAUCGCAUUCGUGACGAGGAUUGGAAAUACGUAGUAGAUAUGAGCAUAAGAUUGUUUAAUUCAAACAAGGCAAAAAAAGGGAAAAAACAUGUUACAUGGGAAGUAGUAAAGGUAUGCA